rnacentral:lncRNA from 1 species
AUGGUUAUUGUUUAUCUGUAUACAUUACACUAUAAAGUAUAUGUAAAUGCAUGUGCAAUAGCAUAGAUUGUAUUUUUUUAUGUAUUCACAUAAGACAUUUUCAAGCACAUUGUCCAAUCUGCAAACUUAAUUAUUUUUAUCCUUAUGUCGAAUGACAACUUAUCUUGGUACUGGUACCAUGUAGUACAUCCUGCCUAAGCAGGUUGUACGCCAUCCAUACGACAUUUAGGCAUCUGUUUGUAAAAUAUUGCUGCAAAUCUUUUUGAGAGAGCCAUUACUAUGGAGAACCAUCUAAACCAUACAAGUGUGGAAACAUGGAUAUUAAUGUGAAAUAAACUGAUGAGUUUAUUUAACUUAGCUGGUAAAAAAAAGAGUUUUCGUGAAACAAAUUUAAUGAAAACAGUUAUAGAAUGAAGUUCAUUCAUUUGCUGGCAACAUUUUUAAACGUGGUCUAGAUCAAAAAAAUUUGGUGCCAGAAAUAGUCGAUAGUGGAAGUGAUAGAUGCAUCGAACCUAAUUUGUAAUUAAUUUCUGUAAAUAAAUUUCACUUUA